rnacentral:tRNA from 1 species
GUUCUCGUAGUUAAAUGGAUAUAACAGUCCCCUCCUAAGGGACCGUUGAGGGUUCGAUUCCCCCCGGGAACG